AAGAUGGCCGAAUAGGAACAGCUCCGGUCUACAGCUCCCAGCGUGAGCGACGCAGAAGACGGGUGAUUUCUGCAUUUCCAUCUGAGGGCUGGGAAGAAAAAUCCAUCAGAGUAAGAGAUGGCAGUGGUUGGAAAAAGUAAAGACAUUCUCUACUUGUACCCUCUGUGGAGUUCAGACUUUCCAUAAAUCAGGCACUGUGUCAAUGAGGAUACCCAGGAGAUGAAUGGAAUCUACUGUCUUUCCCACGCUUGUCAAGGCAUCUCAUCUGAGCAGUUACCAACAUCAGCACAGUGGGGCUGGUCUGCCCCAUCUCCAUCUGACCCGCCCAGCUUGCCCAGUGAUGCAUCACACCGCAAUAGUGGGACAUUUUUUUUCUAACAAUGGUUCUACUCCCCUGGUGUAAAAGCAAAUAAACGGGAAUGGGGUAUAACUUGAUACUAAAUUCUGUGAAAAUAAUCCAUUUGCACUGCACAUAGUUAAUGUGUGGUGCUAACUUGCUACUCUUCAUCCAAGCAGACAGAAGCAGUUGUGCCCUCAUAUAUAGAGGUGCCAGGCAGUCGGGGACAUGAUGAGGAAGUGUUUCUGAAAUCUCUUGUCAAAAGCAUUCAACAGGAAUGCUAAGAAUAAUGGCAAUGAAACACCACCACACCAAGUAAACAAUCGCAUUAACUUCAUUUUGCAGAUGAGGAAAUUGAAGCUCAGUGUGAUUAAAU
rnacentral:lncRNA from 1 species